AAUAUAAACAUUACGAGCCAGAACAUAAAGCAAGUAUUCUUAAGUACACGUGUCAUCAAACACUUCAACCCAAACAAAAAAAGAUAACCCAUUGAAGGAGGAAAGCCACAUGUCUACAUCUUGUUCGUAGGAUGACGAUAACCAGAACGAUGGUGAGCACCUCGAGAAUCCGUCGGAAAACUAGUGAAACCAUUGAACCACUAGAGAAAGCUAUCGGAGAUUUCGCAUGGAAGCGGACGGCAAGAACACAACAAUGGAAAAAGUCAUGUUGACGGUAAAAACAAGACAACGGAAAAGUUGUGUUAACGGCUAAACUGACGAUGAUACCAAACUUCGGCCGAUCACAAAAUCCAGCAAACUAAGCUGGAUGGUGAUGACUUGAAGAACCUCCCUCUCUCUAAAAAGUAUUAGAGAGAGAAGAAAGAGAGAGGUUGGCCAUCUCUAGCGCAUGUGUAUCCCUUCUAAAUUCUAAUAGAUGAAAACUACAGUAUUUUAUUCUUUAAAACAGUAGUUUAAGAUGAAAAAACAAAAACAAAAUACAUCAAAAUUACUUUUUUUGGUUUCCGGCAAAGUUCGGUUUGUUGCGAGCUUUUGUUAGCAUUUGUGGC
rnacentral:sRNA from 1 species